AGGCACUGGGCUCCGAGGGCUUGGGGCUGCAGCAUCCUGGACAGACUCACCGAAAACACUUUCUCUUCACUGUCUCACUAUAAAUACCCUAGGUUAUGAGACUGGGGAAGGUUCAGUUAGCCACAUUUUCUUUACUGAGACACCAUGGCCAUUUACCUAAGGUGCCACAGUUGGGCUGCCGGAAAAACAAGGAUUAAACUCUGUGUUCCUUCCACCAGACCUCACUAAAAGAGGAAAAGGAGAACAGAGGCUCUCUCAUUGUCUCGAAAGUGUAGCCCAAUCUAUAAAGUUACAUGUUCUGAGUACUAAAAAGCCCUUUACUGAAGUAUUUAUUCCUCCUGUUGCCCCUCCAUUUCUUUUUUCCUCCCUCCUUUCCUCAGUUGAGCAAUCAGGGACCCCUCAGUCCCUGGGGUGGGCUAACAAAACUCCAUCUAAGAGCCAAACAUGCUUCACUGUCCUUAGAAACAAGGCCAGUGGGGAGUAGGAAGUCAGCUCACAUUGUUAGUUUACCGUGUUUGUGGGGUGUGGCCAGGGAUUCCUUCCUGAGAAAGACACUGUCCACCUUUUCUCCCUCACUUAAUGGAGAAACCAGUAGAGAAGGGGAGACAGCAGCCAAGCAGGGGAGGGUGCUGGCAACAUGCCUGCCACGGAGGUGGGGAAGAGUGGCGUGGAAUACCGCCAAGAAGAGAGGAUCAUGGACAGAGGCGGCUGGGCAGCAGGCCUUCCUGUCUCAUUCCUUUUCUCUGCUGUUUUUUUGCAGGACUCCCAGCCAUCUCCCUUAGCCCUGCUUGCUGCAACAUGUAGCAAAAUUGGCCCUCCAGCAGUUGAAGCUGCUGUGACACCUCCUGCUCCCCCACAGCCCACACCGCGGAAACUUGUCCCUAUCAAACCUGCCCCUCUCCCUCUCAGCCCCGGCAAGAAUAGCUUUGGAAUCUUGUCCUCCAAAGGAAAUAUACUUCAGAUUCAGGGGUCACAACUGAGCGCCUCCUAUCCUGGAGGGCAGCUGGUGUUUGCUAUCCAGAAUCCCACCAUGAUCAACAAAGGGACCCGAUCAAAUGCCAAUAUCCAGUACCAGGCAGUCCCUCAGAUUCAGGCAAGCAGUUCCCAAACCAUCCAAGUACAGCCCAAUCUCACCAACCAGAUCCAGAUCAUCCCUGGCACCAACCAAGCCAUCAUCACCCCCUCACCAUCCAGUCACAAGCCUGUCCCCAUCAAGCCAGCCCCCAUCCAGAAGUCAAGUACGACCACCACCCCCGUGCAGAGCGGGGCCAAUGUGGUGAAGUUGACAGGUGGGGGCGGCAAUGUGACGCUCACUCUGCCUGUCAACAACCUCGUGAACGCCAGUGACACCGGGGCCCCCACUCAGCUCCUCACUGAAAGCCCCCCAACCCCACUGUCUAAGACUAACAAGAAAGCAAGGAAGAAGAGCCUUCCUGCCUCCCAGCCCCCUGUGGCUGUGGCUGAGCAGGUGGAGACGGUGCUGAUCGAGACCACCGCGGACAACAUCAUCCAAGCAGGAAAUAACCUGCUCAUUGUUCAGAGCCCUGGGGGGGGCCAGCCAGCUGUGGUCCAGCAGGUCCAGGUGGUGCCCCCCAAGGCCGAGCAGCA